UGCCCAGCAACUCCUAUCCCUACCUCCUCGAGGUACUGGCCGGUGGGAACUUUGGUCGUAUUAUAUAGGACAGGAAAGG
rnacentral:ribozyme from 1 species